CACAACUCACAUCUCACCAGUCUCUCUCUCUCUCUGGCGAUUCCAGAUCCAGAUCUGGAUCUAGGGUUUCUCUGCUAUCUCUCUCGCGAUCCAAGCUAUUCAGAUCCGCCUUUCCAUCUGCUCUCUCUCUCACACGAUCCAAGCGAUUCAGAUCCAAGGAGAUUCAGAUCCAAGAGAUUCAGAUCUAGGUGCCGUGUGUGCGAUUCAGGGUUUAAGCAUGUUUAAAACUAGGGUUUCAGGAGAUCGUGAGACGAGGAAAAGCGGGGAUUUCACCAGAUCUAGGGUGUUACUUUCAUUCGAUUUCGAAUCCAUGACCCCAUCCCGUGACAGUGUGGUGUGCAGAUGGAUCCCUAGCCGUCGCAUCUGGUGAACCCGCACAUAAUAACUCUUUUGACCUGUUUCCUAACCUGACUUUCGGCUCAUCUUUCCUAAAUCGUUAUCUUUAUGUUUAAUGUUUUCCGCCCAGAACUGGCAGCACGGUGGCGGUGGAGUGAGGAAACAGUCAAACAGAAGAGACACAAGUGGAGGAGUGGAAUAUUGACGCUUGGUAAUCGAGUGAC